GACGCCCAAGAGUUCAUAUCGACGGCGGUGUUUGGCACCUCGAUGUCGGCUCAUCACAUCCUGGGGAUG
rnacentral:rRNA from 1 species